AUGUGUUUCCAAAACCGGUGGCUGAAAAAACCCGCGUGACACCGCCUUAACCGCCUUCAACACAUUGUUGAAAUGGCGGCUAAUGGUUUCACAAGAGAGGUGGAACCUCUCUUGUAUAACUCUGAUUCGCUGAUUAUGACCUAUAAUGCUUAAGAAUAUAGCAACCUGCUCUUCCACCAGAACAGUGAUGGUAUCUCUCAGCAGUCCUUGCUCUCUAAAAGUGUCGGAUAGUUUGUGAAACAGACGUUUAUCCAUCCGAAGCACUUCCCUGCAAUCUUCAACAGGUCCUUGAAGCAAGUCUUUUAAAUAUGUACCUCUUGUAGAAGGCGAAGUUCCCGGAGGUUGGUUUACUAGACUUUGGUAGUAUAAGUAACCAGCAGCUGCAGCAACUAGCUCCAUCUCAUCUAGUUCUAAGUCUAAAUCGAUGCUACUAGUGGAGGAAUCUGAAAGUAUAGCCAAAAGUACCAGUCAGUGUUCUAAAAAUCGGUCUAUGCGGAGUCUAGCCGUCUGCUUAAGUGGCAAAUCGGAUUUAAAUGGUUUAAGUGUUUGUCCGACUAAUCAAUAAUCCUCUAUAAAGCUCCUAAUUACGGUCUAGCUAUUUUUUUAACAUUGGUAAUAAUGUAACUAAAUUAAUGUCAUUAUGAUCAGUGUUUGUACCAGUGACAAUAUCAAAUGUUUUAUUUCAAAUAUUGUUUCAAACACCUUGUAAGUUGUCUCCGUUCUUCUUAGUCAAAGCUGCUGCUCUCAUUUUGGAAGCUGCUGCGAGUUCUAGCAUGGCUUCAACUAUGGCAACACCACCAGCCUUGCGGUUUCUCCUGCGAGACGGUCCAGAACCACCAGAAGGUGCUGUCGGAAUACGCUUGUUGUGUCCGUUAAUGACGUGUACUUCGUCUCCAGAGCCGCCAGAGGAAAGUUCAUCAUCAUCAUCAUCACCAUCACCAGACAUCAUUCUUCAACAUGCAAAAACCAACGCAAGUGAUUCAGACAGAAGAGAAUGUGCGAAGCUUAGUACAAGACCUUAGCUCAAAGCAUCAAGUUUGAACAAGAAGAAGGUUUGGUUCUGAGAAAAAUUUGAGCGAUUGCUAAUGGCCUCGAACAUUAGGGAUUCUGACAAUUGAGUCCUGUCCCUUAGUUUUGUUUUCUUUUCAUUAGUCGCUCAAAACUUUCAACACUUUAUGUUUUUGGCGUCAUAUUUUAUCCGAUAUCAAAUUAGCCCAGAAUCCAAAAAUAUAAUUUAAUUUGUCUACUUGAGACGAUUAAUCAAGUGGCUAAUCUUCAAUAUCUCCACAAAAAAUAAUAAUUUAUCGACUUGAGAUGAUUAAUCAAGUGGCUAAUCUUCAAUAUCUCAGACUAAAGAUUAACAGAACCUCUUAAACUUAUUACUCAUGAUUCGCCAUGAGUUAAUCACACUGAUAAAUAAAAGAGAAUUGGAAAGAAGAAAGAAAAAUCCAAAGGGGAUUGAUUAUCUAUAAUCUUUACUAAAUUAACAAUCAAACCAUUUUUGCAUAAAGUUUACAAAAGAAAAGAACAAGAACACAAGAAGAGACUCAAAAGAAACUAUAAUCUCUAACAAUAGAUCAGAUAAAGACAUGAAAAGCUUUUUAUUUUCUCUUCAGCUGGGAGCCAAGAAAUGAACACGAGCAAGUGUGUACUCUUUCCCAGCAAUCCAAACACCAGUCUGUGACCAUUGUACAUCUUCCCAAUCCAGAUUCUCCUCCAACACCUGUUUCUCAAUUCCACAAACAUCAUCAUCAUCACUUGUUUUAUAAUUAACAAAAAAAUACAAGAAUUUUACUAAAUUAAUGUUAACCUCGACGUGAUCUGGUGGGAGUGGAAACCCGAUAUCCCGCAUAAGCUUCUGCGGGAGAGGUUUCUUACAUCGUGACCAACGGAAAACAUCAAUUACACUGUUGUCUGAAUCUGUAUCUGUUUUUUCACCGUCUGUUGUCACAUGAGGGAGAGGUUUCCUCCAUCGUAACCAACGGAAAACGUUUAAGGAAAACAUGACAGAGUUGUUAUUGUUAUCCAUCUCCUUAGCUUCUUCGGAUGAUGAGUGUUGUUGUUGGGAGGCUUGGAAUUCUUUCAUAGUCUUCUCUCCAGCGAAACAGAGCUCAUACCUAUUUGCCAUACAAAAGAGUUUGAUUUAGCAUGUAACAAUAUCUCAUUAAUGUUGUUUGAUAUAAACAUGUGUUUAAAUACCUGGAUGAAUGUGUUUCAAGGUACAAAACUUCUCCUUUCUUCAAGCGAGCAGAGGUGAAAAGAGGCUUUUUCAGACCCUUAUCGGCCACAGCGCUUAUGCUAUAUUUGAUCCUGCAAGAAACAAAAAAGAAAAGUAAAUCAAUGCGUGGGUAAAAAGUGAUCUUAGAAGGUAAAGAUUAUCUAAAGCAUUGUGCGGAAGUUUUCAGAGAGUUUACCAAGGUUCAUUGCAGAGGUUGUAUUGUAUUGUUACUUCUCGAACAAACCUUUGUUGCCGCUGACCAUUCUACAGAACGGUAAACAAGUCAUCAGUACUGAAACAUGUCUAAUCAAAUUUUGAAAUGCAAGUGAAGUGAGGGAUAGAGAAUCAGAGAUUUUAAAGUACCGAAGCUGCAGCUCUGGUGGUCAUAGACUUAUCAACAGCCAUUGGUGCAAGUGUUGGCUCUGAGGAGUGUGUAAGAGAGGGUUCCAGUUCUAUAGUUCCACCUCCUUUCUGAAAUAAAAACACCAGUAAGGACUUGAAAAAGAAUCCACUUUUUAAACUGGAUAUUAUGAACAUCCUGCCAAGGAAACAAGGAGGACAGAUAACAAAGAGAUGUCAAAUUAAUAACCUUAAGUAUAUAGCACCGCUCAACUUUGUAACUGCAUCCGAUUCCAGCUCCCCAUGAUCGAGAGCGGACAUUGUUCCUUAGCUUGGAGGUAUAGUCUUAAAAUAUAAUAUAUAUCGAAUAUAAAAAGUUAGUAUGAACAUGGAAAAGUCAAUAAAAGCACAAAGAUAAAAACCUAACUUACAAUCUUGUGACGGCAAGACUCUAAUGGUAGCACGCAACUCUUGCAAUGUCGGUGGAGGAGGGGAAGAUGUAGGACGACAAUAACCUGUAUGCAUGAGAACUAGAAGACAUACCAGAAUCAGUGUUAUGUUAGUUCAAAGCCAAGGCAUGAAAUGCAAAGAUUCUUUAGGACACGUACCAGCAACAAGAUCUGAAUCAUCUGUGUAUAUGUCUGUUCCCCAUAGCUGGCCACCUCUUACCUUCAUAAAAAUAAGCCAAAGGUCUCAAUAUACAAUAAAAAAAGAUUAUGAGAAAGUCUUUGGAUGUAUCUUCGUCUUACUCGGCGGUUAGUAGCAGUAACAUACUCAGCUGGAAUCUGAACUUCAAGAGUGGGGCCAUUACUUGCGAACUCACCACUUUUGUCAGGCUGAGAAGAUUCAUAUUCCUUCCACAAUUUAAUCAGUUCUUGCAUACAUUCCCCAACGUUGUAAACAACAACCGGAACCUCUGAUUCGCCUGGAUCAUUCAGUAAAACAAAAAUUCAACAAGCUGUCGCUCUGACCAAAACUAUGUUCCAUAUAAAAGUUGAUAAAAGCAGCAGAAACUUGAUACAUGUGAGCUCAACCUUAUACUAAUCUUAUACUUGAUAAAAAAAACAAUGCAGAGAUAUAAGCAACUUUAAGCAACACAAAUGAAGUAGCAUUGGGGAUUGAAACCGACUUUUUGGUCCAAUCAUUUUAUAUUUUAACAUUCUACCGUUACUCUGCAACCUAAAGGCAAGCCUAAGAAGGAAACCUCAUAGAUUAAUUAUCAAGUACAAGUGUGUCGCAGAUGACCAUCAUCAAUGCACAUAUAAAAACGAAUGCCAGUUUAACCGAUUAUUUUUCUUUCACUAUUGUUCACCAAGCAGUGCAAAUCGAUCCUUUCUCGAAGACAUAGUAACGAAUGAUUACCUUGUACCCUGCAAAGAAAACACACACACAAUCAAACAUGGAUGAUGCAUUAGAAACCAGAUUAGUGACUGACAAAAGUUUAAGGACUUAGACCAAUCAACUAACUUACAUGGUAAAAGAAACGAAGGGAAAAUAAUCUUCUUAACACAGAGAGUAAGGGAGGCGGCAGGGAAGAAUAUCAAAAGAGACGGCAAAUUUAGGUUUUCAAGGUGCAAAAUUUUCUUUACAGGCUUUUUAAAAGAAAAGAAAACAAUAAUGGUAAUGAGAUAUUCUCAACAAUAAUCAAUAUCGCCUGCAGAUUUUACUAAAUAUGUUCAAAUUUCAACCAAUCCUGGCGUCUCUACUCUCUCCAAAAGGUAAAAAAAAUUAUAGGAUUAAGCUAAGAUAUGAGAGGCUAAUACUAAUUAGACAGCGUCUAAUAUAAAUGCGUAAGACAAAGAGACGCACGCAACCUUCGUAGUUGUCCUGACUCCGUGAACGGACACGGUCGUGGUUUGUGGGCUGUCACAUAUUCCUCUUGUGCAGGUUUUGGCAGAUGCUUCACCGAGCUCUUUCUCGUUCUGUGAGACCUCUUCAGCAUCAGUCUCUAGCUCUCUUUUAAUAUGAUCUUUUUUUUCUUCUCCUUCUUUCUUUCUCCAUCGUUCUGCUCCACCCUCUCUCUCGUUUCCCACCUAUCGGUUUAUUUUUCUUCGCUUCCAGUCUCUUUUGGUUCGCUCAUGACACACUAUCAGCAAACAUUGAUCCUCUGCGGUCAUUUCUAUCCUUAUCACGGGAUGCAACACACAGAUCCACAUUUGCGUUUGAACCUUCACCUCUCUUCCCUCUAUGUUAAUCCUUCUACUCUUUCCAAGCCAAGUGAGCAUGCCCAUCCUUAGUCUCAGCCUUUGUGUCGUUAUAGUUUCUGACCCUCCCUAUCAACACAUUGUUGAAAUGGCGGCUAAUGGUUUCACAAGAGAGGUGGAACCUCUCUUGUAUAACUCUGAUUCGCUGAUUAUGACCUAUAAUGCUUAAGAAUAUAGCAACCUGCUCUUCCACCAGAACAGUGAUGGUAUCUCUCAGCAGUCCUUGCUCUCUAAAAGUGUCGGAUAGUUUGUGAAACAGACGUUUAUCCAUCCGAAGCACUUCCCUGCAAUCUUCAACAGGUCCUUGAAGCAAGUCUUUUAAAUAUGUACCUCUUGUAGAAGGCGAAGUUCCCGGAGGUUGGUUUACUAGACUUUGGUAGUAUAAGUAACCAGCAGCUGCAGCAACUAGCUCCAUCUCAUCUAGUUCUAAGUCUAAAUCGAUGCUACUAGUGGAGGAAUCUGAAAGUAUAGCCAAAAGUACCAGUCAGUGUUCUAAAAAUCGGUCUAUGCGGAGUCUAGCCGUCUGCUUAAGUGGCAAAUCGGAUUUAAAUGGUUUAAGUGUUUGUCCGACUAAUCAAUAAUCCUCUAUAAAGCUCCUAAUUACGGUCUAGCUAUUUUUUUAACAUUGGUAAUAAUGUAACUAAAUUAAUGUCAUUAUGAUCAGUGUUUGUACCAGUGACAAUAUCAAAUGUUUUAUUUCAAAUAUUGUUUCAAACACCUUGUAAGUUGUCUCCGUUCUUCUUAGUCAAAGCUGCUGCUCUCAUUUUGGAAGCUGCUGCGAGUUCUAGCAUGGCUUCAACUAUGGCAACACCACCAGCCUUGCGGUUUCUCCUGCGAGACGGUCCAGAACCACCAGAAGGUGCUGUCGGAAUACGCUUGUUGUGUCCGUUAAUGACGUGUACUUCGUCUCCAGAGCCGCCAGAGGAAAGUUCAUCAUCAUCAUCAUCACCAUCACCAGACAUCAUUCUUCAACAUGCAAAAACCAACGCAAGUGAUUCAGACAGAAGAGAAUGUGCGAAGCUUAGUACAAGACCUUAGCUCAAAGCAUCAAGUUUGAACAAGAAGAAGGUUUGGUUCUGAGAAAAAUUUGAGCGAUUGCUAAUGGCCUCGAACAUUAGGGAUUCUGACAAUUGAGUCCUGUCCCUUAGUUUUGUUUUCUUUUCAUUAGUCGCUCAAAACUUUCAACACUUUAUGUUUUUGGCGUCAUAUUUUAUCCGAUAUCAAAUUAGCCCAGAAUCCAAAAAUAUAAUUUAAUUUGUCUACUUGAGACGAUUAAUCAAGUGGCUAAUCUUCAAUAUCUCCACAAAAAAUAAUAAUUUAUCGACUUGAGAUGAUUAAUCAAGUGGCUAAUCUUCAAUAUCUCAGACUAAAGAUUAACAGAACCUCUUAAACUUAUUACUCAUGAUUCGCCAUGAGUUAAUCACACUGAUAAAUAAAAGAGAAUUGGAAAGAAGAAAGAAAAAUCCAAAGGGGAUUGAUUAUCUAUAAUCUUUACUAAAUUAACAAUCAAACCAUUUUUGCAUAAAGUUUACAAAAGAAAAGAACAAGAACACAAGAAGAGACUCAAAAGAAACUAUAAUCUCUAACAAUAGAUCAGAUAAAGACAUGAAAAGCUUUUUAUUUUCUCUUCAGCUGGGAGCCAAGAAAUGAACACGAGCAAGUGUGUACUCUUUCCCAGCAAUCCAAACACCAGUCUGUGACCAUUGUACAUCUUCCCAAUCCAGAUUCUCCUCCAACACCUGUUUCUCAAUUCCACAAACAUCAUCAUCAUCACUUGUUUUAUAAUUAACAAAAAAAUACAAGAAUUUUACUAAAUUAAUGUUAACCUCGACGUGAUCUGGUGGGAGUGGAAACCCGAUAUCCCGCAUAAGCUUCUGCGGGAGAGGUUUCUUACAUCGUGACCAACGGAAAACAUCAAUUACACUGUUGUCUGAAUCUGUAUCUGUUUUUUCACCGUCUGUUGUCACAUGAGGGAGAGGUUUCCUCCAUCGUAACCAACGGAAAACGUUUAAGGAAAACAUGACAGAGUUGUUAUUGUUAUCCAUCUCCUUAGCUUCUUCGGAUGAUGAGUGUUGUUGUUGGGAGGCUUGGAAUUCUUUCAUAGUCUUCUCUCCAGCGAAACAGAGCUCAUACCUAUUUGCCAUACAAAAGAGUUUGAUUUAGCAUGUAACAAUAUCUCAUUAAUGUUGUUUGAUAUAAACAUGUGUUUAAAUACCUGGAUGAAUGUGUUUCAAGGUACAAAACUUCUCCUUUCUUCAAGCGAGCAGAGGUGAAAAGAGGCUUUUUCAGACCCUUAUCGGCCACAGCGCUUAUGCUAUAUUUGAUCCUGCAAGAAACAAAAAAGAAAAGUAAAUCAAUGCGUGGGUAAAAAGUGAUCUUAGAAGGUAAAGAUUAUCUAAAGCAUUGUGCGGAAGUUUUCAGAGAGUUUACCAAGGUUCAUUGCAGAGGUUGUAUUGUAUUGUUACUUCUCGAACAAACCUUUGUUGCCGCUGACCAUUCUACAGAACGGUAAACAAGUCAUCAGUACUGAAACAUGUCUAAUCAAAUUUUGAAAUGCAAGUGAAGUGAGGGAUAGAGAAUCAGAGAUUUUAAAGUACCGAAGCUGCAGCUCUGGUGGUCAUAGACUUAUCAACAGCCAUUGGUGCAAGUGUUGGCUCUGAGGAGUGUGUAAGAGAGGGUUCCAGUUCUAUAGUUCCACCUCCUUUCUGAAAUAAAAACACCAGUAAGGACUUGAAAAAGAAUCCACUUUUUAAACUGGAUAUUAUGAACAUCCUGCCAAGGAAACAAGGAGGACAGAUAACAAAGAGAUGUCAAAUUAAUAACCUUAAGUAUAUAGCACCGCUCAACUUUGUAACUGCAUCCGAUUCCAGCUCCCCAUGAUCGAGAGCGGACAUUGUUCCUUAGCUUGGAGGUAUAGUCUUAAAAUAUAAUAUAUAUCGAAUAUAAAAAGUUAGUAUGAACAUGGAAAAGUCAAUAAAAGCACAAAGAUAAAAACCUAACUUACAAUCUUGUGACGGCAAGACUCUAAUGGUAGCACGCAACUCUUGCAAUGUCGGUGGAGGAGGGGAAGAUGUAGGACGACAAUAACCUGUAUGCAUGAGAACUAGAAGACAUACCAGAAUCAGUGUUAUGUUAGUUCAAAGCCAAGGCAUGAAAUGCAAAGAUUCUUUAGGACACGUACCAGCAACAAGAUCUGAAUCAUCUGUGUAUAUGUCUGUUCCCCAUAGCUGGCCACCUCUUACCUUCAUAAAAAUAAGCCAAAGGUCUCAAUAUACAAUAAAAAAAGAUUAUGAGAAAGUCUUUGGAUGUAUCUUCGUCUUACUCGGCGGUUAGUAGCAGUAACAUACUCAGCUGGAAUCUGAACUUCAAGAGUGGGGCCAUUACUUGCGAACUCACCACUUUUGUCAGGCUGAGAAGAUUCAUAUUCCUUCCACAAUUUAAUCAGUUCUUGCAUACAUUCCCCAACGUUGUAAACAACAACCGGAACCUCUGAUUCGCCUGGAUCAUUCAGUAAAACAAAAAUUCAACAAGCUGUCGCUCUGACCAAAACUAUGUUCCAUAUAAAAGUUGAUAAAAGCAGCAGAAACUUGAUACAUGUGAGCUCAACCUUAUACUAAUCUUAUACUUGAUAAAAAAAACAAUGCAGAGAUAUAAGCAACUUUAAGCAACACAAAUGAAGUAGCAUUGGGGAUUGAAACCGACUUUUUGGUCCAAUCAUUUUAUAUUUUAACAUUCUACCGUUACUCUGCAACCUAAAGGCAAGCCUAAGAAGGAAACCUCAUAGAUUAAUUAUCAAGUACAAGUGUGUCGCAGAUGACCAUCAUCAAUGCACAUAUAAAAACGAAUGCCAGUUUAACCGAUUAUUUUUCUUUCACUAUUGUUCACCAAGCAGUGCAAAUCGAUCCUUUCUCGAAGACAUAGUAACGAAUGAUUACCUUGUACCCUGCAAAGAAAACACACACACAAUCAAACAUGGAUGAUGCAUUAGAAACCAGAUUAGUGACUGACAAAAGUUUAAGGACUUAGACCAAUCAACUAACUUACAUGGUAAAAGAAACGAAGGGAAAAUAAUCUUCUUAACACAGAGAGUAAGGGAGGCGGCAGGGAAGAAUAUCAAAAGAGACGGCAAAUUUAGGUUUUCAAGGUGCAAAAUUUUCUUUACAGGCUUUUUAAAAGAAAAGAAAACAAUAAUGGUAAUGAGAUAUUCUCAACAAUAAUCAAUAUCGCCUGCAGAUUUUACUAAAUAUGUUCAAAUUUCAACCAAUCCUGGCGUCUCUACUCUCUCCAAAAGGUAAAAAAAAUUAUAGGAUUAAGCUAAGAUAUGAGAGGCUAAUACUAAUUAGACAGCGUCUAAUAUAAAUGCGUAAGACAAAGAGACGCACGCAACCUUCGUAGUUGUCCUGACUCCGUGAACGGACACGGUCGUGGUUUGUGGGCUGUCACAUAUUCCUCUUGUGCAGGUUUUGGCAGAUGCUUCACCGAGCUCUUUCUCGUUCUGUGAGACCUCUUCAGCAUCAGUCUCUAGCUCUCUUUUAAUAUGAUCUUUUUUUUCUUCUCCUUCUUUCUUUCUCCAUCGUUCUGCUCCACCCUCUCUCUCGUUUCCCACCUAUCGGUUUAUUUUUCUUCGCUUCCAGUCUCUUUUGGUUCGCUCAUGACACACUAUCAGCAAACAUUGAUCCUCUGCGGUCAUUUCUAUCCUUAUCACGGGAUGCAACACACAGAUCCACAUUUGCGUUUGAACCUUCACCUCUCUUCCCUCUAUGUUAAUCCUUCUACUCUUUCCAAGCCAAGUGAGCAUGCCCAUCCUUAGUCUCAGCCUUUGUGUCGUUAUAGUUUCUGACCCUCCCUAUCAACACAUUGUUGAAAUGGCGGCUAAUGGUUUCACAAGAGAGGUGGAACCUCUCUUGUAUAACUCUGAUUCGCUGAUUAUGACCUAUAAUGCUUAAGAAUAUAGCAACCUGCUCUUCCACCAGAACAGUGAUGGUAUCUCUCAGCAGUCCUUGCUCUCUAAAAGUGUCGGAUAGUUUGUGAAACAGACGUUUAUCCAUCCGAAGCACUUCCCUGCAAUCUUCAACAGGUCCUUGAAGCAAGU
rnacentral:lncRNA from 1 species